GUCCCCCUCCCCCCCUAAUCAAACCUAAUCUAGUAAUCUGAAUGGAAACCCCCCAACUCUAGCCUCAUCUCUCUUCUCUCUUGACACAGGGCCUCACCUCACCUCGUCAGUUGUCACUUUCAGUCUCUCACAGCGUCACCUCGUCACUCUCUCGGUCUCGCACUCAUAAGCUCGUCGUCGCGGUCUCGUGCCCUGCGUUCGUCGGCGGUAGAAGCAAACGGAAUCAGUCAAGCAGCAUCUUCUCCAUCGGCGGGUGGUGGUGGUCGUUGUCUUCUUGUUUCAUCGCAGUCUCAGAACCAGUCAACUGGGAACAUGGCACAUCGGAUGGAGACAACGCAAAGCCUCCCGACGGUGACUUCUGAGUACGAUCCCUCAAACCAGGCGUGGAUAGUUACAACCACUACUACUGUGGUCCAGACUAUCUACUUAGAUCGAAGUUCUGUAGAAGAAAUCCCCCAAUUGCCGGUCAUAACUACUCCAGCACCAUCACUCGAGGUGGUCAACCUUAAUUCAGAUGAAAGUGAAGUACGUGCCAUAUUUUCCCAUCUCAGCGCCACAUCAGAUUCUAGUUCAUCCCAUAUAGCAGAAUAGGAUCUUCAUCGGCGCAAAAGUGUUAGAAGAGGAUUGUUAGUAGUCCAAUUCAUGAAAAACUGAAGGGUUCAGAUGAAGGAUAGAAUAUGAUACAAGGAUGAGAGCUUCUUCGAAGAACUUGGUUAGGACGUGUUGGGUUUUCUUCCUAGUUAUUUCUCGUUUAGCAUUUCUUUUUCUGCUAGUAACAUUACUCAUGGGAACUUUGUUGUUUUAUUUAUUUUUUUAUUUGCUAGAACCUGCUUAUGUGUGUUCAUUUCCUUCUUUUAGUCGUCAUGUAUUUUACUCGAGUGUUGUUGCA